rnacentral:lncRNA from 1 species
CCAACCUUUUUCAACUUAAAACCUUUUAACACAAGUUUGAAAAUCAUUUAACACAAGGUUUUAGUUGAAAACAUGAAAUCAUCCAAUUCUUAAGAUAUUUAAAACAAUAUUACUCUUGGAUGAUUUUGGUGCAUAAAUAAAUAAUGAAAUGCAUGAAAGUCCUAGUGCACCAACAACCUUACAAAGAGAUCUUAUGAAGCUUUGGUCUUGAAAAACUCUUCUCUUUGAGGUGAUCUUCUUCUUCAUGAUUUCUCCUUGGCUUGAUUUGUCUUU